rnacentral:rRNA from 1 species
UGAACGCUAGCUACAGGCUUAACACAUGCAAGUCGAGGGGCAGCAUGAAGUCAGCUUGCUGACUUUGAUGGCGACCGGCGCACGGGUGAGUAACGCGUAUCCAACCCUUCCCCUUACUCAGGAAUAGCCCGUUGAAAGACGGAUUAAUGCCUGAUGUUCUCAUGUUGCCGCAUGGCGAUAUGAGCAAAGAUUCAUCGGUAAGGGAUGGGGAUGCGUAUGAUUAGCUUGUUGGCGGGUAACGGCCACCAAGGCAACGAUCAUUAGGGGUUCUGAGAGGAACGGUCCCCCACACUGGAACUGAGACACGGUCCAGACUCCUACGGGAGGCAGCAGUGAGGAAUAUUGGUCAAGUGGGACGAAAGCCUGAACCAGCCAAGUCGCGUGAAGGAUGAAGGUUCUAUGGAUUGUAAACUUUCUUUUGUCUGAGGGUAAAAAAGCGGACGUGUCCGUUCUUGCAAGUAUCAGACGAAUAAGCAUCGGCUAACUCCGUG